GAAAUGCGAUAAGUAAUGCGAAUUGCAGAAUUUCCGUGAGUCAUCGAAUCUUUGAACGCACAUUGCGCCCAUUGGUAUUCCUUAGGGCAUGCCUGUUCGAGCGUCAUCUAAACCUUCAAGCCCUGCUUGGUGUUGGGUGCCUGUCCCGCCUCCGCGCGCGGACUCACCUCAAAUCCAUUGGCGGCCCCCGCGUCGGCCACGAGCGCAGCAGAAACGCGAACUCGUGAGCCCGUCCGGGCGGCUCCCAGAAGCUACACCCACCCAGUUUGACCUCGGAUCAGGUAGGGAUACCCGCUGAACUUAAGC
rnacentral:misc_RNA from 1 species